UACGGAGGGGCUAGCGUUGUUCGGAAUUACUGGGCGUAAAGCGCACGUAGGCGGCUUUGUAAGUUAGAGGUGAAAGCCUGGAGCUCAACUCCAGAACUGCCUUUAAGACUGCAUCGCUUGAAUCCAGGAGAGGUGAGUGGAAUUCCGAGUGUAGAGGUGAAAUUCGUAGAUAUUCGGAAGAACACCAGUGGCGAAGGCGGCUCACUGGACUGGUAUUGACGCUGAGGUGGCGAAAGCGUGGGGAGCAAACAGG
rnacentral:rRNA from 1 species